CGUCUCGCAAUGGAGAAAUUCCAGAUUCACAGCUAUGCAGUGUUUCGGGUUUUACACAAUUUAUGCGCUUGAAUAAUUCUCAUCUUCUAAAUCAGGGAGAUGGAUGAUAACAAAAUAGUCUUUGUCAGCUGUAAGGACUGGCCUACACAUGUGUGCGUGCCCCCCCACCUCCCCCAUGCCCCCCCACACACACACGCAUUCGCACAGAGGACCUAAGUAGACAAUGCCGGCAGUUAGUCUGAGCAUAUGUGUGCAUACACUGCACAGCGUCAAUGUCUGAGUGUGUGUGUGUGUGUGUGAAUCUGUGUGUGUGUGUGUGAGAAAAUGUGCAUCCUCCUCCUUCAGUGUCGCAACAGUCUCCCACAUUUCCCCAACGUAUCACAGAAUCUUCAAAUAAAGAUUGUGUCCGAAAGAAUAGCCUUGUUGUUCUUUCGCCUUCCAAGCACUUCAUUCUCCUUCUCUCUUUUCCACCCGCAUUCACUUCAUUCUCCAUCCUGUCAAAUCUUGGAUACAUUUGUCAGUCUAGGUUAGGCAGCUUAGUGGCUCAGUCUCUGUGUGAGAAAUUUCUCCCCGGGCUGUAUUAUUCACGAGGUCUCAACGCCUGCUGAGCGAUCCCAAAGGAGUUGGGAAGUCUGUGCUCCAAAUAGUGGUUACAGUACAUUUGCUACCAAAGGCCUGCUUAUAUCAAUGGCGAUGAUGGAGUUACGACUCCCUCGAGAGACUGUGUGGGAGUUUGUGUCAGAGUGUAGCCUUGUUUUGUAUUGGUAAUGAGCAAACUUGGAUUUUAAGAUGACACA